GAAUGCCAGGCCAUGGUGGACAUCAAGGAAGUUAAGUCUCUUAUCUUCAGAAGACGCAUGAGGCGGUUUGUCCAAGCGGGCCAGGGAGGAAUUGGCAGGAGUACAGGACCGGCAUCAUCAGCAUACCCCAAGGAUUCCAGAAUGACCAUUGAGCAGCCCACUAUCCCUGCUGCCAUGCCACUACUGCAGAUGCCGCACCAGUCUCACGGGCCAGCAGUGAUUCAACCCUUCUUGGCUAAGCUCCUGCUCUGACUCAGAUCAUCCCCCCCCCCCCCCCCGAUGACUAGGGUAGAGCUGUGGAAGCGUGACUCUACCAACUGACCCUCACCGAUGAUCGCUGAGAAGAGAGUGAGGAUCAGUGCCUGCUCAACGAGUGGUAUCAGAGAGGCCUCCGAAUGCUAGAUGGUGAUCAUGCCUGGCAGAAUGGCAAGAGUAACCUCUCGACUAUCUAUUGGAGCUCAACUGUCUCUGCAGAGAUACCAGUGCGACUAUCUCCUCUGAUUCACCUGAGUCCAAGAAUUGCUCCAUCAGUAGUGGUGGUGUAGUUGGUACCAGGGGACGUCUGCCAGAUGUUGGAGGUCAUGGAACCAAAUGAAGGACAAUUCCAACUCAGGCCACGUGGCAGGAGAGAAGCAACUGGAGAGGCGCUGACCUGCACUGCCUCUUAUUUGGUUGGGUGCAAAAGGAUAGUCAUUACACAUGUGUGGACCAAGACACUGCUCUGAAGAAUUUUUUAGACUUGGGUGCAUGGUGCACAUGUGCACCCCACAUGUAGAACACACACAGGGAUCAUCACUCAAAGAACAGCGGUUACUGUAACCUGUGGAUAGACUAGUCCCUUCAAAACUCCCAUGACCAUAGGGGGGUAGUGGUGGUGGUGAUGGGGAGGACUGGUCUUGAAAGGCCGAGAUGGACACCAGAUGGAUUUUAAUGAGCUCAUUAGUAGGCCUGACUCUUUCAGUUUAGUAGAGUGUUCUAAUAUCUUGAAUCUAUAAAGCAGAUCUGGAUGCUCUGUCUCCAUCAAGAACCUUUUCCACUUAGAUAGGUAGCUUUUAUGGAUUCACAGGGUCUGGGAUAUGCCCCAGUCUGUAGCCAAUCCCUUGGGAGUGACCCCUUGUGUGUCCUGGACCCAAACGAUUACACAGAGUUCCACAAGGGUAGGACCUUGCCUCCAUGACUCUGAAAAAGCCGGACCUUUGGGCACCAGCAAUCCUCGUCUCUCUCCCUGGCUCUCUGCAACGAAUCCAGUCAAGCCAGACUCCUGCUGGAGGCUUCUCCAUACCCCUUCGGGGCACAAUGCUCAGUCAGUAUAUGCAGCCACCCCAGGUAAUCUUUUCAAAACAAGGUAGUGAUGUACUAGUCACCUGGCAUGCAAUUUUGAAAUACAGAGAAGCAAAGGUUAAGAAAGAGUUCAGUCUGGCUAAAGCCAGGGCACUCAGAUACAUACUGCUGUAGGAACUAACUGUGAUUCAUUUUUGUCUACCAGACAUGUGUCUCUGUUAGCAGAGCUCUUAAUACAGACACCUGACCUCUCGUUUUACAGCCAUGCUUUUUUCACAUGUUCAGCUGCCUCUGCAGCUAGGUGUUAAUAUUAGUCAUUGAGGUUAUCAUUCUCUCUGUCAGGUCUUCCAUUCAAAUGUGUUGAUUCCAGCCCACACAGUCCUAGUAGCUUUAUGGCAGGGGUGGCCAAACCACACAUGGCUCUUUUACUGUUAAAAUGCAGCUCAUGGAAUCCCACCUCAUACCCCUUUCCCCGUUUUCCACCUACCAGACAGGGAGGUGGGAGAGGGGAAGGGGGAAGCUUGGGACCUCUGACUUGCAGCGGAGUAGUGGCUUGUGGCAUCUGCUUAGCAGGGAGGGAAGAUCUCGAGGUGCGCUCCAGCUCUCGAACUUCUGAAGAUUGUCCUACGUGGCUCAUAAUGUGAGUAAGUUUGAGAUAUAUAUAGCAGGGGUGGCCAAAUACCUAGACUGAUUUCCCAUGUCCUAUGGAGAAAAUGAAUUAUUUCCCCCAAAUGGUAACGAUGCCAAGGUCCGAAGUCAUAUAGACAGCUCAAAUAUAUUACAGAAAAUUCCCACAUUUGUCACAGUAGCUCUAGAAGAAUGUCUUUCUACUAAUUAACAUCUUCUGAAACAGCUGAAAAUAGAUUCUAUCUAUAGCUGUUAGCCUCCCACCAUCCACGCUGUGAGGCUGAGACUGCAUGGAUUGGAGUGCAGCACCUGACUGUAAUGCUAUGAUAUAUAGAGAGGACUGGUAACAUGAAUAGAGGUUGGACUGACAGGGUCUGCAGGUCCAAGUACUAAUACUAUCUCAGCCAAGCUGGGGCCAUGAGAUAGCAUUAUGGAGUGUUCUUGUUUCAGCUUUCUGUUUACUUUGGGAAUCAGUGGAUUGGAGGGUAUUCUUACAGGAACUCCAGUUCCCAGGAUACUAGGAAUGCAUCUUUUACACAGCUUGGGCUAUGAUCAGCCAUGGAACAGAAGCAGCUGCAUUUCUUCUAGUCUUUGGUUGCAAAUCAGUUCAUAUUGGGAAAUCCUCAGCUCUGGAAGACUGCCCACAGUAUCUUGUUCUCCAGAGACUGAUCAUGACUUCCAAUGAACUUCCUGCUGAGAUGAUUUUUUUAAAAAUUGUGUACAAUAUUCUUAAAAUAAAAAUUAAAGACACUUCGGCCAACAAAUCCCCCUAAUUUUUUCCUCACAAAUGUUAGCUUUACGCUUUCAGUUGCUUGUCUGAAAUAAAAAGUUCCAGCAGUUAAGGAUUUUAUUCUGUAUUUGACUUCUAGAGAAUGAA